rnacentral:tRNA from 1 species
GUCGGAGUGGCGGAAUCGGCAGACGCGCACGUUUGAGGGGCGUGUGGGAAACCGUGUGGGUUCAAGUCCCACCUCCGACACCA